ACUUCUCUCUUGCCUAGGGCGACAACCACCAACCCCUCUGUGCUUCUCCACUCAGGCCUCACGACACGCUCGUGCGCAAACGUCUCGAACACUCCGUCUUCUCUACACUGCCCCAUCAACCAUGCCCGGCGUUGUGGAAGCCAACCUGCAGAAGCUGGGCAUCACCCUGCCUGUUCCUGCUGCCCCUGCAGCUUCCUACGCGCCGUUCUGCAUCGUGGGAAACAUGGUCUACGUCUCCGGCCAGCUUCCCAAGGAUGCCGAUGGCAAGCUAAUGGUGGGCCAGCUCGGUGACUCGCUGACGGCUGAGGAUGGCAAGGCCGCAGCGAAAAGCUGCGCCGUGCAGCUGAUCGCUCAGAUAAAGGCCGCCGCCGGCGGCGAUCUCGACAAGGUGAAGAGGGUUGUGAUGGUGCGCUGCUACGUGAACUCUGCAUGCAACUUCCAUGACCACCCGCUUGUGGCCAACGGCUGCUCCGACCUCCUGGUGAGCGUGUUCGGCGAUAAAGUCGGCCUCCAUGCUCGCUGCGCUUUCGGCGUCGCACAGCUGCCCUUCAACUCGAUGGUGGAGAUCGAGGCUCAGUUCGAGCUCAAGGAAGACGCCAAGGUUGCCUCGUAGAAGAUGCAUUUGAUGAAGGCCGUAGCAGCCGGCGAAAGCUAACGAGCACGCGGGAGUAGCAGUCGCUGCUUCCGCUCGGCAAACGCUUCUCGCGGGCGCGUCGCACCGUUCCCCUCCCCCUGCAGAGGUGGCGGGGCGGUGGGGGAGGGCGUCUCGAUCUGUUCCCUGGCCCUGUACCUCUCUUUUUUUCUCUUGAAGCCCGAAUAUGCUUCUUUUAUCUUUCUGUUAGCGACAAGGAACGCACUUCAUCCAGAGAGCCUCUUCGCUCACCUCGCGAAGCACGCCUUUGCCUAUUCGAACCCUCUCUCUCCAAUUCAUCAAUGUGCAGCCUUGCUGACAGUUCUUACCGCUGUGGGCGCAUGUGUCAGUGCAUGUGUACGGAUGGGCGGUGAUGUGUAGGCCGCUCUUGUCCCCUUCUCUCCACUCGCCGCGGUACCCCCCUGCCCGUCACGUCAUUUAUCGGGUUCGACUCGUUGAUUUCGGUUAUAUAUAUAUAUAUAUUUUUUUUUUUUCGACUCGUUUUGUUUUCUUGGUUUCUCGUUCUUCUCCCUGCAGCACCGGCAAACAGACCUUUCCACUGUCCCCUCCCACUUCUGUGGGCCUCUCCUCCUCCUUGGCGUUGAUGUGCGAGCAUGCGCGUUGGAUAAGGAGCACGUUUGUGCUUUGGUGAGCAGGUGCGUGCGGGUGCGUGUGCGUGUGUGCCCGUGCUGCUGGUGAGACUCCGCAAGCGAGUCAGGAAGAGAAAGGUAAGAAGGAAGAAAGAGACAAGUUGAUGUUCAAUUCGUGGGGCUCGCCUGGUCUGCGCGAAGCAGCGCGCCCACUCGCCUGCGCUGGUGUCGAAGGCGUGGCCUGCGUGUCUGUCUGCCUACGAUACCCAAAAAAAAACGCAUGCACAAAAAUGAAAGCGUAAUGGUGCAAACG
rnacentral:misc_RNA from 1 species